GUCAAUGAAACAGGAUCAAUGUUUGUAGGAGAAUUGUUUGUUGUUUUAUGUCCUCUACAACUCAUACACCAAACAACACAUUAUUGCAAUACUUUUUAUAUUUAUUUUCUUCAUUACGAAUUACAAAAUUAGUAAAAAAAAAGUUCUUAUAUAAAACAUGAAGCUUUUUUCGAAUGUCAAAUGCAUGUAGAGGUAAAAAAAAAGAUACGAAUUAAAUUUUUAGCAGGGGGAGAGGAAUUAAUCAAGUCACGUGCUCGUCUGCCCAAUUUGCCUGCUCUCUCCAUUUCCUCUUCACGUGCUUUCACAUUAUUUCCCUUAAUGUCUCUCUCUACCUCUUUCUCUUCAUAUUUACUUCUGUGCCACUCUUUAUUUACCAUGGUUUUUUUCUUUCUCUAAAACUUGAUUAUACAAAAAUCAUAUAAUCACGUAAUCGGAUCAUAUAUUCAUCAAUUAACAAAUGUACUAUCUCCAUCCACUGUUUAAUUAAUAC